UACCUGGUGGUCUGGUGGUUAGGGCUCUGCACUUCCACUGCAGGGGGCCUGGGUUCAAUCCCUGGUCAGGGAG
rnacentral:tRNA from 1 species